CCCCAAAGAGGGGAGAUAAUUCUACCCAUGAGAUUGAUAAAUUUUUGGAAUUUAAGGGAAUAAAUGGAAAUAGGGAUCAGGCAGGAAAAUGGAGUAGAAAUUGAAAAGCAGUCAUAAUCUUAUUGAAUGACAGGGUAAACUCGAGGGGCUGUAGGAGCACUUCUGCCCCUAUUUCUUAUGUUCUUAAAAAGAAAGGGAACAGAGAUAUAUUGUCUUCAGUAAAGCAUUAAUUGUAAUAAUAAACAAAGUACAACAACUAUGAAUACUGUGGGAGGGCAAGUUCUGGCAGGUAUCUGAACUUAAGUUAUAUUGAGCCAUUAGGAUAAGUGGACACAGGUGCAAACUAGUAAAUUAUGAUGAAAUAUUUCUUCACACGCAACGAAUAGAAUAGAAUUUCACACAGUUGUGGAGGCAAAACUUAUGGAAUCUUUUGGAAAGGAUUGAGUGAGAGAGAGGGAGGAAACAUUCAAGAUGCAUGAAUUAACAUGGAGCGAAUUGCCUUCCUCAUCAAAAGACUAAGGGCUGGAUUUUACAGGCCCCCAUCGAUCGUGUUUUCGACAGAAGUCCAUGUAAACUAGGCCAGAUGGCUAGCCCACCCCAUCCACCCCCCAGCUGACCUCCAUAGUACGCUAGCUGGACGGGUGCCAAAAUUGGCAGCCCCCCCGCCAUAUGUAAGUAAAUAAUUAAGGGGAAAUUAGGCUUGUCAGCAAGCUUAUUGACCUGGAUAAUACUCUGCCCAUAAUAUGACUGGCAUGGUCAGGUGGGCGGGAGCAGGUAGGCUGGUUUUUAAGGCCAAGAUGUAAAAGGGCGGGAAGGAAAGGGGGCACUUCAUUCAGCCGGUCUCCUGCGCACAGUGGGGUACCCCUCCAAGGUAUCGUCUCCCCCCAGCCCCCAGUUCCUUCCACGCCACCUCCCCUCCAAAACCUGCCCGCCCCCCCCCCCCCCUCUCUUCCCCCUUCUCUGGAUUCUAGGACCCCUCCCUGCACCCCAGGCGUCACCUUUCUGUGGCAGCCAUCGCCCCUUUUCUUGCUCUUUCCUGCAAGUCCUGGCAGUGCCCACUACCCGGCUCUGGGACUGCUGGAGCUGCUGGCCAAUCUGAUUGGCCGGCAGCUCCUGAGGGCGGGACUUCCUUCCACUGAGGGGUGGAAGUACCGCUCUCAACCACUUUAGGCCACCCUCAGCUUGCUAUGGCUGCGUGUCAGGCUCCUUCCAGCCGCGUCUGCUUCUGGCUGACUUUCCUUCUGAGGGGAGGAGCAGUUCACCACCACCAUCCCUCGCCCACCCGCUGCUGCCCACCCCGCCCCCGCUAUAGUGCUGUGCUUAAGUGAGAUGAGAGACUGGAGAAGCUGGGCUUGUUCUCCUUGGGACGGAGAAGGUGAAAGGGAGAUGUAAUGGAGAUCUUCAAAAUUAUGUAGGGGUUCGAUAACACUAAUGGUGAGAAACUGUUUCCACUGGCAGGAGGAUCAAUAACUAAUUAGGACACAGAUUCAAGAUAAUUGGCAAAAGAACCAGAGGAAAGAUAAGGAUAAUUUGUUUACUCGGAGAGUUGUUACGGUCUUAAAGGGUGGUGGAAGCAAAUUCAAUAGUAUCUUUAAAAAGGAACUUGGAUGAACACUUGAAAAGAAAAAGAAUUGCAGAGCUAUGGGGGAAGAGCAGAGGAGUGGGGCUAAUUGGAUAGCUCUUUCAAAGAGUUAGUACAAGCAUGAUGGGCUGAAUGACCUCCUUCUGUGCUGUCUCAUUCUAUGAUCUUGUAAACUAUAGUGUAGAGUUAGUGGAAUUCCAGAUGAACUGUUCUUGACUGUUUCCCUUGUCUUAUCAUCUUUUGAUAGCCAGCAUUUAGAGUUUAUUUAGCUAUGGUAGCUCCAAAAUACAUCUUAUUCUUGAUAAAUAUGUUGGCCUUGCCUAUGAAAAUUGUGCUUAGAUUGAAAACUCAGUGAAGCAAGAAUUUUCCAAGCUUUGCCUCACAGUCUAGUUAAUAAUUAAUUCCGCAAUUCAUUUUAAAGCUGAAUGGCAGAAAACAUCUGUCAUGCUUUGCCCAAUUUUGAUUCGACUCCUUCAUCUUGCUGCCCUCUCUGGAGGUCACCAGAUAUUGGUGGUGGAGGGGGCGGGGGGGUGGCAUUUGAAUGAUCCUAACUCAUCCAGCAGAAAAAAGCCACAGUUCCCCCACUGACUUUUGCUUGAAUAAAUUUCGGGACUUUUUAUUUUCGUUGUUCAAAAGUGUGAAAAAUCUCCCUGACUUUAGUCCUAAAUUUGCCUUUUGUUUAAGUGACACACACUUUGUCAUCCUUAAAGCUCAACUAGUCUUCCUGAUUUACCCUUUCUAUUCCGUUCGCUUUUCGUCCCUCCUCGCUGGUAGAUCCCACUUACCUGGCUUCUCUGAAAGACCGAAAUGUCAAAGGUUCUCCAGAUUGUCCUCAUAAAUUCAAAUUCUCUGACAUUCAGUCUCAUGGUUCUUCUAGGUGUCAGCUGUGUCUCAGUGGGUAGCCUGAGUCGGCAGGUUGCGAAUUCAAGUCCCUUUUGAGAGACUUGAGCACAAUCUCGAAGCUGAAACUCCACCGCAGCUCUGAGUCAGUGCUGCACUGUCAGAGGUGCUGUCUCCUGGGUGAGGCACAGAACUGAGGCCCUGUUUGAAACGAAAACAGAAAAUGCUGGAAAGACUCAGCUUGUCUGGCAGCACCCGUGGAGAGAGAAACAGACUCAAUGUUUCGAGUUCACAUUAUGACUGUCAUUGAGAGCUCCGAAGAAGAGUCAUACGGACUCGAAACGUUAACUCUGGGUGGCAUUUUCCCCCCGUCAGGGGGGGUUGUGCGGGAUUGGGUGCGAGCGGACGGAUUCCCGAUUGGCGCCCCCGAUUGGGAGCACGCUCCCAUUUUAUGUGGGCUGGCCAAUUAAGGACCGCCCAGCGUGACAUCCGCCCGGAAGCACUGUGCGCUCCCUGUGCGAGUGGGGGGUGAUUCCCUGAGCAGGUCCGUGCAAUCUUUCGCGCAUGUGCACAGAAGAGCACACAGAUCUCCCUGAGGCAAAGUGCUGCCUCAGGGAGAUCGGCUGAACUGCUAAAAAUUUAUUAAAGGUAUGAAAAAAUUUUCCUGACAUGUCCCUUCAUAUCCAGCCAGGAUAGGUUUUAAAACUGGUGUUACAGAUUGACUACCAAAUAAAGAAAGCUCCUGAAAUUCAUUUCCACCUGUUGUAUAUUUUAUAUCUCGGAUCUAUGCAGAGAUGACACUAGUUUGCGUGUGUGUGUAACAGGAUUUAGUUACAUGCUUUAAAAUCUCACUCUAGCUUCUGGUUUUUUCUGCAGCUUUGUUUGCUUUUCCCUGAGUCCACACCUAGGUGUGACCAAUAAAGCACAGUCAGCAUCAGUUGCAAGCAGGUUCACAUAAUCAAACACAGAACAAUUGAACACUACACCACACAUUGGCAAUUCACAAAGCCAGCUUUAAGCCCAGGUGGCAAGUUAAACCUUUACUUGUGUAUCUAUAGUUGUUUGAGGUAAACAGAAUUUGUAAACCUAUUAAAUUUAACUGCUAGGAUUAAUAUCUACAGUGAGGCAGCAUUGUUAGGAGAUCCUUCGUCACCUGGACUGUAAUGGUUCAAGAAAAAGGCUCACCAUUAACUUCUCAAAGCUCAUUUAGGAUGGAUCAUAAAUGCCGAUCUUGUCAGCCAUGCCCAUAUCCUGAGAAUGAAUAAAAAGCAAAUAAACAAAGGUCACUGGACAUAAGUAAAUCUCAGUAACUUUACCAUCGAAGCAAAGAUUUUGCUAAGUCAAGAUUGAUUUUAAAAAUGACCAUUGAACCUCAAGCCAUUUCAUCAGGCAUAAUACAUGAAUACAACUCUUCAGUGUAGUUCACAUGACACAAAGGAUAUUGAGUAUGUCCUUCACCUUUACUCUACCUUAAAGUGGACACCAGUCAACAGUGCAACAGUAAAGAAUUAUUCAUUCAUUAAGAUUUGUUGUUAGCUGCGAUGGAAAUUUUAAAAACUGACAUAAUUAAUAAUUAAUUUCUCAAAUGAAGCAAUCCUACAAAACCAUUAAGCCUUAUGUGUAGAUGGUACAACUCCUGCAGCUUUUAAAGGACAAUUGUUAAUAAUUAAACAACCUGGUAUGGCAGUAGAUUGUAACCAUAUAUUACAUCAGAAGGGGGUGAUGGAACCCAAUGGAGGAGGUGGUGGGUGACAUGCUUGGGAUGGGAUGGAUCUGUUGAGAAUGAAAUAUCCAAAGGAGAGAAGUAAAAUAAUUGGUUUAUUUUCCCUUUACAGUGAAGGAUUCAUCAAUGUCAAAUUUUUGGGAUUGCUAUUUUCCAAGAUAUGGGGGCGGGAUUUUGGCCUUGAUUUACGGGCACAAUCGGCAGGCCCGGAAGCGGCCGGGAAACGACCCGCCACCAGCGAUUGGCCCCCGACCGAGAUUUCACGCUGGCUGGCCAAUUAACGGCCAGCCAACGUGACAGGCGUGCUGAAACGUUCAGCGCUUCCGGGGUGGGGGGGGCGGGAGGAGGGCGAGUGCUGAAGUUAACGCGAUUGUGGGGGAACGCAGCAUUAAAGGUCCUCGAAGGCAGAGAGCUGCCUCAGCGAGCUGACGAAUUUAAAAUCAAUAAAAACAGAAUGUAAAAUCUGGAAGCAAUGUCCACGCUUCAGAAUGAGUCACCUCAACAUAUGGGUGUUGAGAAUUAUGUCCACACAUUUUUAUCUUUUUGUUAAUUAAUCUCGGAAACCUAAUCCUGCACUUUGGAUGAGAUGUCCUCAAAAAUGCAAAGGAUUCGCCCACCUGUCAACUGUAAUGCUGGACAGGCAUCGAAAAAUCCCCGCUAAUUGAAAUUUUAAUGACUGUAUUUGGUAUUUCCAUAGGUAUAGGGUUGUCUACAGCGUGUGACACACUCAUACCUCAGUUUUUGACACAGUGAAGAUAUUUCUCCUAAAUAUUGUCAGCUCCACAUUCUGUGGACAUUUAGGAAGAACUGAAUUGGACGCAGUUAGUCUUGCCUCAGCGAAGCGGACACAGAAAACAGUGCAGUUGUUUUGAUGCCCAAUGUUUUGCAAAUGGAACGAAAGAUAAACAAGGACCGGGUGACAGAUGAGUCUUCCAUUGCGGACACUGGAGUGACCACAGUUGGAGAAAUCCUGUCCACAAAACAACUGAUUAUUCGUCGUGGCCUAGCCUUCCUUUCAGGACCACUUGUACUGGCAAUUGGACUGGUGAUACACUUCAUUCUUGCAAAGGACAGGUAGACCCCAGUGAACAAUGGAGAGACAAAGCAAGAUUAUUUUCUGCAGCAUGAAUGGUAAGAUUUUGCCCAAAGGACAACAGAGGCCAAAGUUCACACAAAACCUGUUGCUACUGAUGAACUCCAGUCAACCGUCAAAUAAAUA